rnacentral:rRNA from 1 species
UACAGAGGGUGCGAGCGUUGUCCGGAAUCACUGGGCGUAAAGGGCGCGUAGGCGGCUCGGUCAGCGUGCGGUGAAAGCCCGGGGCUCAACCCCGGGUCGGCCGUGCGAACUGCUGGGCUGGAGCACUGUAGAGGCAGGUGGAAUUCCGGGUGUAGCGGUGGAAUGCGUAGAGAUCCGGAAGAACACCGGUGGCGAAGGCGGCCCGCUGGGCAGUGACUGACGCUGAGAAGCGGAAAGCAUGGGGAGCGAACAGGG